rnacentral:rRNA from 1 species
GACGAACGCUGGCGGCGUGCUUAACACAUGCAAGUCGAACGGAAAGGCCCUGCUUGCAGGGUACUCGCGUGGCGAACGGGUGAGUAACACGUGGGUGAUCUGCCCUGCACUUCGGGAUAAGCCUGGGAAACUGGGUCUAAUACCGGAUAGGAGCCAUUUUGAGUGUGAUGGUUGGAAAGUUUUUUCGGUGUAGGAUGAGCUCGCGGCCUAUCAGCUUGUUGGUGGGGUAAUGGCCUACCAAGGCGGCGACGGGUAGCCGGCCUGAGAGGGUGGACGGCCACAUUGGGACUGAGAUACGGCCCAGACUCCUACGGGAGGCAGAAGUGGGGAAUAUUGCACAAUGGGCGCAAGCCUGAUGCAGCGACGCCGCGUGGGGGAUGACGGCCUUCGGGUUGUAAACUCCUUUCGCUAGGGACGAAGCUUUUUGUGACGGUACCUAGAUAAGAAGCACCGGCUAACUACGUG